rnacentral:rRNA from 1 species
UGGAUCCAGACUUUGAUUCUGGCUCAGGACGAACGCUGGCGGCGUGCUUAACACAUGCAAGUCGAACGGAGUACCCCCGAAAGAGAUUUCGGUCAAUGGAGGGGACUACUUAGUGGCGGACGGGUGAGUAACGCGUGAGGAACCUGCCUUUCAGUGGGGGACAACAGUUGGAAACGACUGCUAAUACCGCAUAACAUAUCUGCAUCGCAUGGUGUGGAUAUCAAAGAUUUUAUCGCUGAGAGAUGGCCUCGCGUCUGAUUAGCUAGUUGGUGAGGUAACGGCCCACCAAGGCGACGAUCAGUAGCCGGACUGAGAGGUUGGCCGGCCACAUUGGGACUGAGAUACGGCCCAGACUCCUACGGGAGGCAGCAGUGGGGAAUAUUGGGCAGUGGGCGCAAGCCUGACCCAGCAACGCCGCGUGAAGGAAGAAGGCUUUCGGGUUGUAAACUUCUUUUGUCAGGGAAGAGCAGAAGACGGUACCUGACGAAUAAGCCACGGCUAACUACGUGCCAGCAGCCGCGGUAAUACGUAGGGAGCAAGCGUUAUCCGGAUUUAUUGGGUGUAAAGGGUGCGUAGACGGAUAAUCAAGUUGGUUGUGAAAUCCCUCGGCUUAACUGAGGAAUUGCAACCAAAACUGGUAAUCUUGAGUACUGGAGGGGAAAGCGGAAUUCCUAGUGUAGCGGUGAAAUGCGUAGAUAUUAGGAAGAACACCGGUGGCGAAGGCGGCUUUCUGGACAGAAACUGACGUUGAGGCACGAAAGUGUGGGGAGCAAACAGGAUUAGAUACCCUGGUAGUCCACACCGUAAACGAUGGAUACUAGGUGUAGGUGAUGAUAAGUCAUCUGUGCCGUCGCAAACGCAGUAAGUAUCCCACCUGGGGAGUACGGCCGCAAGGUUGCAACUCAAAUGAAUUGACGGA